AUUUUUUGAGUACUUUCUCCACCGCUGCUACUCUUAUAUUAUGUCUAUGGCAGCCAUACCCGUCUCUGGACCGGCAAGAUGGCCACCAUUGCACUGUGCCACCAGCAGCGAUAUACAGAGGCAGGCGGCUCUUGAGGAGGAGAGGCCUCAGCUCUAGGUUUGGAUGCAGCUUCCCAGAAUCUCCCAGUGAUCCUCUUCCUCCUCCUGACAUGGUCUUCUUCACUGUCUCCUCAUCUUUUAUAUACAUAAAUUAUAGGAACAUUUUGUUAUGUUUCCAAAAACAUUGGCUGAAUAUCUGCUUGUAUGUUAUUGUAAUAAAUACAUUUUUAUGAAAA